rnacentral:rRNA from 1 species
UACGGAGGGGACUAGCGUUGUUCGGAAUUACUGGGCGUAAAGCGCACGUAGGCGGAUUUGUAAGUCAGGGGUGAAAUCCCGAGGCUCAACCUCGGAACUGCCUUUGAUACUGCAAAUCUCGAGUCCGGAAGAGGUGAGUGGAAUUCCUAGUGUAGAGGUGAAAUUCGUAGAUAUUAGGAAGAACACCAGUGGCGAAGGCGGCUCACUGGUCCGAUACUGACGCUGAGGUGCGAAAGCGUGGGGAGCAAACAGG